AUUAAAGAUUAAUCUUUAAUUAAAUAUUAUGCCAUGUGGUGAAACCUCCAGGAAUCCGCCGAACCAAAAUUGGCAACCCUAGCUGGGACAGACCGACU